rnacentral:lncRNA from 1 species
GGCGCUCAACGCCUUCGACAUCAUCUCCAUGUCCCCCGGGCUCGACCUGUCGGGGCUGUUCGGCGAGAGCAGGCGCAGCCGCGAGAAGCGGUUCAUGACCACGGCGUCGCCCGAGCAGACGGUGGAGCGGCUCGGGCACGCCGGCGCCAAGCUCGGCUACUUCAUGGUGGGGAAGAAGGGAGUGGAGCGCCUGCCGCUGGGCGGCCUGUCGGGUCUCGUGGCCAUGUCCAUGGAGAUGUCGGAGGUGUCGCACGAGCUGAUGCUAGUGGAGCUGAGGCUGGAGGGCGGCGACGGCGACGAGGCCGAUGCGUUCGGGUGGGAGGAGCUCCGGGUGGAGCUGGGCGACGUCGUGACAGCAUGGCACGUGUGCGAAGAAGGUUGAUUCGCUCGCAAGAGGAGGAAAUGCGAUAUCGAGAAGCAGGAUCAGAAUCCUUUCGUGUAGGAGAUCGAGGGGAAGUGUAUGUAUAGUAGUACAGUAAAGUGCGUAUCAUGUACGUAGAAUUAGUUGGCUAGGACGCACUGAAGAUGUGUGAUGUUGUAACUAGAUUGGUAGGUUCAAUCAAUCUAAUAUGUGAUGUUUGGGAAUUGGGAUGAUAGUUGUUGUCAAAUUAAUUAGUACUAG